GAUGAACGCUGGCGGCGUGCUUAACACAUGCAAGUCGAACGAUGAAGCUCAGCUUGCUGGGUGGAUUAGUGGCGAACGGGUGAGUAACACGUGAGUAACCUGCCCUUAACUCUGGGAUAAGCCUGGGAAACUAGGUCUAAUACCGGAUAGGAGCGCCUACCGCAUGGUGGGUGUUGAAAAGAUUUAUCGGUUUUGGAUGGACUCGCGGCCUAUCAGCUUGUUGGUGAGGUAAUGGCUCACCAAGGCGACGACGGGUAGCCGGCCUGAGAGGGUGACCGGCCACACUGGGACUGAGACACGGCCCAGACUCCUACGGGAGGCAGCAGUGGGGAAUAUUGCACAAUGGGCGAAAGCCUGAUGCAGCGACGCCGCGUGAGGGAUGACGGCCUUCGGGUUGUAAACCUCUUUCAGUAGGGAAGAAGCGAAAGUGACGGUACCUGCAGAAGAAGCACCGGCUAACUACGUG
rnacentral:rRNA from 1 species